UCCAGCAUUUUGUGUCUGGAAGCCUAUCUGUCCACGUGGUGGUGUGCCAGCAGGCUGGAGGAGCGGGCAAAGGCCUUGCCACAGAGCGGGCAGGUGAAG